GAGUUUGAUCCUGGCUCAGAUUGAACGCUGGCGGCAUGCUUUACACAUGCAAGUCGAACGGCAGCACAAGGAGCUUGCUCCUGGGUGGCGAGUGGCGAACGGGUGAGUAAUGUAUCGGAACGUGCCUGGUAGUGGGGGAUAACCACUCGAAAGAGUGGCUAAUACCGCAUGAGAUCUCUGGAUGAAAGCGGGGGACCUUUGGGCCUCGCGCUAUCGGAGCGGCCGAUAUCAGAUUAGGUUGUUGGUGGGGUAAAGGCCUACCAAGCCUGCGAUCUGUAGCUGGUCUGAGAGGACGACCAGCCACACUGGGACUGAGACACGGCCCAGACUCCUACGGGAGGCAGCAGUGGGGAAUUUUGGACAAUGGGCGCAAGCCUGAUCCAGCAAUGCCGCGUGCAGGACGAAGGCCCUCGGGUUGUAAACUGCUUUUGUACAGAACGAAGAGUCUCUGGCUAAUAUCCGGGGAACAUGACGUACUUAAGAAUAAGCACC
rnacentral:rRNA from 1 species